CGCAUUGUAGUUGUGGGGCUGGCCCUUUGGUCAUGCAGCAUGUGCCAGGUCUCCCUGUGUGGCCCUGUCCUCUCAUCCUGGAUGGCUGAGGUGGGCCAUGACUGCGAGGCUGGCGUCAGAGCACUGAGAGCCUUCCUGCUGGCCUUCAUUUGCUAAUAAAUCCCUGCUCCUUCUGGCUCCUCAGUGGGAGUCACUUCUUUGCCCAGCCUUAAAUUCCUGAGUUGCUCUGCCCUCACCCUCUGCGGGGUUCUUGGAGGAAAGAAUUCCUCAUUGUCUAAUGCAGGAGGUGAGACUCAGGGAGUGAGUGAACAAAAGGAGUUUGGAGAGAACAAGUCUGGUCAAGGGGAUGAUGGCGGGGCCCAGAUUUCCCAUUUCCUGGCUCCUGUUAAAGCGGAUUGAGGUUUCAGCACCUGUGGGAGUCUGGGUGAGCCCUGGGGCCCAGCAGGGAGGGGAUGGGCAGUCUCUCCGCACAGUCUCCAGGUGAGGUGGGAGGUAAUCAGUCUGCCGGGUGGGAGAGUUCCCUCCUCCAGGGUUGUGUAGACCACCCCUAACCUACGUGUGGACCCUGGACAAGCAGCCUCAGUGCCAUCUUGGAGCAGAUGAGGAAGCCAGACUCUCAGGCCCACUGCAGUAGUGCCGGACCAGAAUGGCUAGGGGGGCCUGGGCAACUGUUCUAUCACAAGCUUCUAAGAUGGUGAAACCAAGUCUGAGGAAAGGGAAAUGACCUGUUCAAAGCCAUACUAUGAGAGCAUGGGAACCCAGUCGGUUUUAUGCCAAAGUCCCGGUUUGGAACGGAACUGAACUAUUGUAUGUAACACUCCACCGCCCCUACCAGACUGAAAGCCGCGUCCCCCAUGCAGGUGGUUCUGGGUCUGGACACCCUAUGAGCACCUGGAUCUCAAGGAAGCUUAGGCUGGAAGCCAGAGGCCUGGUAACAUCUACUCUGAAAUCCAAACUGGCUCCUCUGCUCCCCCCAAAGAUCUCGUGUUCGCGUCAGAAUUCCCCACUUGGCCGCCAGGUGGCGGUGGU
rnacentral:lncRNA from 10 species